rnacentral:lncRNA from 1 species
GUGAAUUGGUAAACGAUUUUUGCGGAUCAACAUUAUACGGGGUCUGCUAGAGAUGCUCUAACGUACCAAAAACCUCAUCCGGACCGCAUUCAAAUAUUUGCUUGUUGAAUUCAAGUUUGAAUUAUUUCAUUUGAAAACUUAAUUGGAUUAUAAUAUUUACAUUAAAACUACGAUCGUAUUUAAAUAUUUUCAAUCGUCUAUAAUUUGAUACGAUGUUAUUUUGAGCUUGCUAAAAGAAAAACGAACAAAUAAAGGGACAUGGUUAAAUGGUCGGUUUCAGUAGACUAGUCCAGGGACGAAUACCGUGUUUGUAUUGAGGGUAAACGUUGGAGAUGUCUUUAAACUAGAAAUUACCCUCCUUAUAAAUUUGUUUUCUUUCAUGUCAUGUCCCCCUCCUCAAUUAUGCUCAAGCUCUGCCACCGGAAAUGAGUACAUCGUUUGGCAAAACCAAACAGUGUGACCACACCUUUGCCAUUCGCUAGUGGAUCACCAACAAAGGAAGAUGACAGGGACGCCUGCCUCGUAGAUUUGGCGACAAACAUGGUUCUAUCUUCCAACCGAUUUUAUGAUCCCCCGGUAGACCCAAACUCUCGUCCGGGUGAUGGAUUGAUCGAUUGAUUGGCACGCCCUCCCUUUUGCCCCGGCAUGGAAAUGUCUGUGCCUGCCUACAUAUGGAAACGGAUAGCGUUACCAUCUUCUCCGACUGAUAGACUCCUACUCAGAAAGAGCUAGCGGUAGACACCAGCGAUGCGUAGGUAGGUACAUGUUUUGGGUAAACUGUUUCAGUGGACUGCCCAUCCAUGACUAUAUUUCUUGCACUAUCUUGGAUGAGUACAUACAUGAUUUUCCGAUGACGGUCGGGCUGCACUAUUUUGGGUGAGUACAUACAUGAUUUUCCGUUGACGGUCGGGCUGUUUCGGAUGAGUAGCAGUAGUGUUUGUAGCCACUAUUUCAGUGGGCUGCCGAGAUCUUCAAAUUAAACGUUGGCGGGGAAUUUAUGAACUUUGUAUGAUUGUUCGUGUUGUGUGCUUGCGUAGCUACAUCUAGAAAAUAGUACAGACCAACCACGCCGACGUCGCCGAGGUGCUCCAUCUGUGCAAAGAAAAGAGGCAUGCGGCCCGGACAGCAAUGUGAUUAUUUAUGCUUCAUUCUUAGACCAGCAGUCCUCCUGUUUUAGUGCGUCUCGGACGUCCUCACAGGUUUGAGGAAAAGCUUCUAUCCUUGUGUUGCACGCACUUUGUAUGAGUGCGGUGUGCCGAUACAACAGGAAUCUCGAGACAGUACGACAAGGGCCGGGCGUGCUCCGGACAGGAGCCGGUAUGCAUGUACACAGGACAGAGGCAGCUACUAGAAUGGAGAAUAGUUUGUUUUUGUUACAAUACCGUGACCUUUGCAUACUAAGAGGGUGCUUGGAUCCAAAGGACUAAAACUAGUCUGACUAAAAAUAGUCUUUUUAAGAAGCUAA